UACGUAGGGACCAAGCGUUGUUCGGAUUUACUGGGCGUAAAGGGCGCGUAGGCGGCGCGGUAAGUCACUUGUGAAAUCUCUGAGCUUAACUCAGAACGGCCAAGUGAUACUGCAGUGCUAGAGUGUGGAAGGGGCAAUCGGAAUUCUUGGUGUAGGCGGUGAAAAUGCGUAGAUAUCAAGAGGAACACCUGAGGUGAAGACGGGUUGCUGGGCCAAACACUGACGUUGGAGGAGCGAAAGCGUGGGGAGCAACAGG
rnacentral:rRNA from 1 species